CGCAGAUAUCAGGAGGAACACCGAUGGCGAAGGCAGGUCUCUGGGCAUUAACUGACGCUGAGGAGCGAAAGCAUGGGGAGCGAACAGGAUUAGAUACCCUGGUAGUCCAUGCCGUAAACGUUGGGCACUAGGUGUGGGGGACAUUCCACGUUUUCCGCGCCGUAGCUAACGCAUUAAGUGCCCCGCCUGGGGAGUACGGCCGCAAGGCUAAAACUCAAAGGAAUUGACGGGGGCCCGCACAAGCGGCGGAGCAUGCGGAUUAAUUCGAUGCAACGCGAAGAACCUUACCAAGGCUUGACAUGGACUGGAAAUACCUGGAAACAGGUGCCCCGCUUGCGGUCGGUUCACAGGUGGUGCAUGGUUGUCGUCAGCUCGUGUCGUGAGAUGUUGGGUUAAGUCCCGCAACGAGCGCAACCCUCGUUCUAUGUUGCCAGCGCGUUAUGGCGGGGACUCAUAGGAGACUGCCGGGGUCAACUCGGAGGAAGGUGGGGACGACGUCAAAUCAUCAUGCCCCUUAUGUCUUGGGCUUCACGCAUGCUACAAUGGCCGGUACAAAGGGUUGCGAUACUGUGAGGUGGAGCUAAUCCCAAAAAGCCGGUCUCAGUUCGGAUUGGGGUCUGCAACUCGACCCCAUGAAGUCGGAGUCGCUAGUAAUCGCAGAUCAGCAACGCUGCGGUGAAUACGUUCCCGGGCCUUGUACACACCGCCCGUCAAGUCACGAAAGUUGGUAACACCCGAAGCCGGUGGCCUAACCCCUUGUGGGAGGGAGCUGUCGAAGGUGGGACUGGCGAUUGGACUAA
rnacentral:rRNA from 1 species